rnacentral:rRNA from 1 species
UACGUAGGGUCCGAGCGUUGUCCGGAAUCAUUGGGCGUAAAGCGCGUGUAGGCGGUUCGGUAAGUCUGCUGUGAAAGUCCAGGGCUCAACCCUGGGAUGCCGGUGGAUACUGUCGGACUAGAGUACGGAAGAGGCGAGUGGAAUUCCCGGUGUAGCGGUGAAAUGCGCAGAUAUCGGGAGGAACACCAAUUGCGAAGGCAGCUCGCUGGGACGUUACUGACGCUGAGACGCGAAAGCGUGGGGAGCAAACAGG